rnacentral:rRNA from 1 species
CCUACGGGAGGCAGCAGUGAGGAAUAUUGGUCAAUGGGCGAGAGCCUGAACCAGCCAAGUCGCGUGAGGGAGUACUGCCCUAUGGGUUGUAAACCUCUUUUGUCGGGGAGCAAAAGCCGGACGUGUCCGGCUGUGAGAGUACCCGAAGAAAAAGCAUCGGCUAAUUCCGUGCCAGCAGCCGCGGUAAUACGGAGGAUGCGAGCGUUAUCCGGAUUUAUUGGGUUUAAAGGGUGCGCAGGCGGAUUUUUAAGUCAGCGGUAAAAUCGUGGGGCUCAACCCCAUCCAGCCGUUGAAACUGGGGAUCUAGAGUGUGCGAGAGGUAUGCGGAAUGCGUGGUGUAGCGGUGAAAUGCAUAGAUAUCACGCAGAACCCCGAUUGCGAAGGCAGCAUACCGGUGCACAACUGACGCUCAGGCACGAAAGCGUGGGUAUCGAACAGGAUUAGAUACCCUUGUAGUC